GUGUUUGCUUUGGCAACACAUAUAUGAAAAUUGGAAUGUUCCAGAAGAUUAGCAUGGCCCCCGUGUGAGGAUGACAUGCAAAUUUGAGAAGUGUUCUACUUAAAA